rnacentral:lncRNA from 1 species
ACCUAAUGCGUUGUUAUCUCGUUAUUCGAUCUCGUAUAGGAUCUAUAUCCAUAAAAUCUAACCAUAAUACAUCGUACGAAUAACGUGUCAAUUUCUACUAAGCUUACGGGAGUUGCUCGUUUGUGUUCGUCUGACUGCACCAGUCAAGUUUAUUGCAUCAGUAAAACAUCUCGUUCAUAACGAUGAUUCUCUAUUUGUUUUAAACAGUGUAAUCAUUCACGUAAGUAAUUACAUUUCUUCAUAAUGUCAGGACACGAAUAACCUCUGUAUUUCUGUAGCUUAUCUGUUUUUCAAAUGUUAAUUCUGUUUAACUAUUCAAUUGGCCAUUAUUCUGUCUACUGUUUUUGAUCACAACGGACUCACAAAGCAUUUGCGAGGAAAUCGACAGCGUUGCCGAACUACGUACAAAGGCUUUUCUGUUUCUACGUAAUAAUGCAAAGAUUGCACAUUGUACGAAUCGUUUGAGAAGAUUCAGCUUUUCGAAUGGAAGCUUCUUAUGCAAGAUGGAUCGUAAUUCGUGGCACAAGCAGAACGAGAGGAGUGAUAUGGUUAAAAAUAAGGCGAAACUUGAGAUUGAAACGUUCCCUCGCAUAUUGGUAGAAUGCUAACAGAUUGUCGAGACAAUCUCUACCAUGACACGGACUCUCUCCCCCUCUCAAUGUCUCAAUUAAAACAACAGACCAAAUUUUAUUUAUUACGUUCGUUGUGUUCAUCACCAAGCUCGAAGAAUUAAUUAAUAAUUAAGUAUUGACAGCGAAUAAGCCAAAUAAGCGAGGACUGUGGCCUAAAAAGCAGAGGAAGUUACAAUAGCAGUCUGUGAUGAAAUCCGUGAGGCUAAUCACGUGUCAUUCAGCGGAUCUUCAAACGCGUUUCUCUCGAAAGCGAAGCCGCCAACUUAAUCUUGUUAUUUCUAAUUCACUUUCAUUCUGGGCCAUAGAAUUUUCCUUGCUAUGCUUCUAUCAUGUUUGCUGAUGCAGGAUGUAUAUUCUGCAUUUUCCUUCCAUAUUAUUUCUUAUACACAGACAGCACAGGUUCUUAUCUCUUUCCAUCUCAUAUGUAAUUCUUGCCAUCUUACUGUUUUAAAGCUGUCUAUUUGAUAAUCGGCUUUUCCGUACUCUUGUUUGAUAAAUUUUUCGCCAUGGAGUCCAUGUCUCCGUCUUCGUCAAAUUAAAUAUAUUUAAAACAUAAUCUUCUUUCUUGUAACGUUGAUGAGUUUGUUCGCACUCAACAACAAUUUUUUUUUCUUUUUUUGAACCACAGACUGACUAACAAUCUACCUCUUUCUUUCGUAAUUUUUCUUGUGCAGAUUUAGACAGAUAAAUUUAAUUUUGAAAUUGUUUUAUUCUCGGCUUCCUUCGAUAUUGGUUUCAUGUUCGGAUAGAGUUUAAUUCUCGGUUGUCGUUAUGGGUCCUGGUGACCUACAGUUUUACUUUAGAAAGAGAUAUCUUCAAGAUAUUCGCUUAUAAUUGCAUUAUGUGCACAGUAUUAUUAGUUUGAAGUGUUUCUUAUAAUCUCUGACGAUUAUACCGCUAAAACUCUCGUCAGUCGCGUACUGAAUGUCGUGGCAACUCUCCACAGUUAGUAAUGGGUCAUGUUAAUCCAGGUGUGACAAAAGCGUAUUCUUUGCUCAGAUUGAACAUAUUUUAUUUAUGUGCAAAUUUUCCAUACAGAUUCUUGUGCAUUCACUGUGGAGGAACUCUUUUCAAAUCUUUCUUAUUUACUUUUAAAAUACAUAAAUCUACCUAUCUAUAAAUAAAAUACAGAAUGUUUGUAGCUUUGACUUGACUUUUUCAUAUAAUUGUCUCGGUUUUCUUAUUCGAAAACUGCUUUUCUUCGACAUGUCAAAUAAAUAUCUUCUUUGAAGCAUGCACUAGGAAACUACUUUUUCCCCUAGAGCACCACAUCUCGAAAGCAUCAUCGUAGAUGUUUAGCGAGGGAAGCAUAAAGAAGUUACCGCAUAACUUUUCAUAAAAAUAUCUUUCUUCGAAACUUGCAGGUAAAAAGAUUUUUUUAAAGAACAAACGUUGUUUGUUAACCUUUCUUUUGUCAAAAAAUAUUCUAGGACGUUUAAACUACCCUCAAAUUUUGUCUAUCCAAUAUCACUGUUAUUUUUCAUUAAACAGCAUUUACUUGAGGAUUGAAAAGGGCCCCAGUGUCUGAAAUAAGAGUCGAUUUAUUAUCAUUUAUUAUCAUUAAAAGAACAAAUUUCAGUUCAGCAGUAAGAUCAUCAUCUUGUGGAAUAAUACAUUUCCUCCGGUGGCAGUACUUUUACGUAAACAGUACGCAAUUCUGAAUGGCACAGUCUUGAAUAGGCUAAUUAAAAAUGGCACCAUAAUAUUACCAGAAUAUCCAUAAUGUAAUCGCAACAACGCUAUCAUAUUAUAAGCAGAAUAAUAUACAAUUUUCAGAAACAAAAAUCUAUGUACGUUUCGUACUGGCAAGUGGAUGUUGAAAUAUUUCAAUUUCGGAUUAAAAUAGACUUACAAAGUUUUCCAAAGGUUGCGUAACAACUUUAUCGUGCGAUUUCGUGUUGCGAAAAAUGCUAGAUAAUAAAGAAGAGAUUAGAGGGUAUAAAGUCUGCGAGAUGAAAAACAGAAAUAGAAAGCAAACGAUUUAACUCUUGAGAAUUUCAUUGCACGUGCCUAUUGAGAUUUUGUAAUGUAAAAUAACAGCGUGACUAAUUGUUAAAUGAUAAGAUAUUUCGCUGAUUUCAGCUGGGAUUGAUGUGUUAUUGGAUGACGGUACAAAGACGUUAAAUUGAAAUCGAGUCUUGAAAAGUACCAUAUUUUCAAACGAAAUGGCAAAAUGUUUGAUUACGUUGGAAUUAUAGGCACUUUACGAGCACUUAACGCAGCUAAUGUGUUUUUCUUGCGCAUCAUGCUGUAUCACACUAUAUAUUCAUGUGCAUAUCCAACAAAUCAGAAUUCCAAUACUCAUAAACCGAACAGAAACGUUAUCGAGAAUAAAAAAAUUUGCACGAAUAAAUGUGAAAAUAUUACUAAGUUACUAUUGGGUUGGCAACUAAGUGAUUGCAGAUUUUGUCAUUAGGCGGUAUUGAUAAAAUACGCAAUCACUUAUUUGCCAAUCCAAUAUAUCUCGCUGUAUUAAUAAGAGAUGAUCUUUGCCACUAAUUGUUACGUUUAAGACUACUAUUCACGCUGUAUACUGAUUUUCUACUAAUUGCAAGUGCAUAUUUGUCUUGUAAUUUCUGUAUACAUUCUUUGAUUGCUUUCAAACGUUACUACAUUUAAAUUUAAAAAAAAAA